rnacentral:rRNA from 1 species
AGGGAGUUUGAUCCUGGCUCAGGAUGAACGCUAGCGGCAGGCUUAACACAUGCAAGUCGAGGGGCAGCGCGGAGUAGCAAUACUCUGGCGGCGACCGGCGGAAGGGUGCGUAACACGUGAGCAACUUGCCCGUGACAGGGGGAUAAGCGAUGGAAACGUCGUCUAACAUCCCGUAACACGAGGGGAGGCAUCUCCCAUCGUUGAAAACUCCGGUGGUCACGGAUGGGCUCGCGGGACAUUAGCUAGUUGGCGGGGCAACGGCCCACCAAGGCGACGAUGUCUAGGGGUUCUGAGAGGAAGAUCCCCCACACUGGAACUGAGACACGGUCCAGACUCCUACGGGAGGCAGCAGUGAGGAAUAUUGGACAAUGGAGGCAACUCUGAUCCAGCCAUGCCGCGUGAAGGACGAAGGCCCUAUGGGUCGUAAACUUCUUUUGUCAGGGAGCAAUAAGGGUCACGUGUGGCCCGACGAGAGUACCUGGCGAAUAAGCAUCGGCUAACUCCGUGCCAGCAGCCGCGGUAAUACGGAGGAUGCGAGCGUUAUCCGGAUUUAUUGGGUUUAAAGGGUGCGUAGGCGGACGAUUAAGUCAGCUGUGAAAUGCCCGCGCUUAACGCGGGAAGUGCAGUUGAUACUGGUUGUCUGGAGUGCCGUUGCCGUGGGGGGAAUGUGUAGUGUAGCGGUGAAAUGCAUAGAUAUUACACAGAACGCCGAUUGUGAAGACACCUCACGAAGCGGUAACUGACGCUGAGGCACGAAAGUAUGGGGAUCGAACAGGAUUAGAUACCCUGGUAGUCCCCU